rnacentral:rRNA from 1 species
AUGGCAUGGUGGAAAUUGUGUGUGCUGAAGUGCAAAGGAGGUAUGGAGUUUAGAGACAUCCACUGUUUUAAUUUGGCUCUUCUAGCAAAAUAAGCAUGGAGGUUAAUAGAUAAUCCAUAUUCUUUGUGUGGUACUGUCCUGAAGGCAGAGUAUUUUCCUGAUGGAGAUUCGCUCAAUGCUAAAUUAAAAAUGGGAGCUUCCCUCACUUGGCAAAGUAUUAUGGCAGGGGUGAACACUCUGAAACAUGGGUGCAUCUCGAGAGUGGGUGAUGGACAGAAAAUCAAUAUAUGA